rnacentral:rRNA from 1 species
AACGCGAAGAACCUUACCUGGGCUUGAACUACUGGUAGUAAGUCUUUGGAAACAGAGGCUGAUCCGCAAGGAAGCCAGCAGAGGUGCUGCAUGGUUGUCGUCAGCUCGUGUCGUGAGAUGUUGGGUUAAGUCCCGCAACGAGCGCAACCCCUAUCUCAUGUUGCUAAUCCCGCAAGGGAUGCACUUUUGAGAAACUGCCUUCGAUAAGAAGGAGGAAGGUGGGGACGACGUCAAAUCCUCAUGGCCCUUAUGUCCAGGGCUACACACGUGCUACAAUGGUCGGUACAACGGGAAGCAAUACCGUAAGGUGGAGCAAAACCCUGAAAGCCGGCCCCAGUUCAGAUCGUGGGCUGCAACUCGCCCACGUGAAGGCGGAAUCGCUAGUAAUCGCGAAUCAGCAGGUCGCGGUGAAUACGUUCCCGGGCCUUGUA